rnacentral:rRNA from 1 species
UGGGGAAUAUUGGACAAUGGGCGAAAGCCUGAUCCAGCCAUGCCGCGUGUGUGAAGAAGGUCUUCGGAUUGUAAAGCACUUUAAGUUGGGAGGAAGGGCAGUAAGCGAAUACCUUGCUGUUUUGACGUUACCGACAGAAUAAGCACCGGCUAACUCUGUGCCAGCAGCCGCGGUAAUACAGAGGGUGCAAGCGUUAAUCGGAAUUACUGGGCGUAAAGCGCGCGUAGGUGGUUCGUUAAGUUGAAUGUGAAAGCCCCGGGCUCAACCUUGGAACUGCAUCCAAAACUGGCGAGCUAGAGUAGGGCAGAGGGUGGUGGAAUUUCCUGUGUAGCGGUGAAAUGCGUAGAUAUAGGAAGGAACACCAGUGGCGAAGGCGACCACCUGGGCUCAUACUGACACUGAGGUGCGAAAGCGUAGGGAGCAAACAGG